rnacentral:rRNA from 1 species
CAGUAGCCGCGGUAAUACGUAGGUGGCAAGCGUUGUCCGGAAUUAUUGGGCGUAAAGGGCUCGCAGGCGGUUUCUUAAGUCUGAUGUGAAAGCCCCCGGCUCAACCGGGGAGGGUCAUUAGAAACUGGUUGACUUGAGUGCAGAAGAGGAGAGUGGAAUUCCAUGUGUAGCGGUGAAAUGCGUAGAUAUAUGGAGGAACACCAGUGGCGAAGGCGACUCUCUGGUCUGUAACUGACGCUGAGGCUCGAAAGCGUGGGUAGCAAACAGGAUUAGAUACCCGUGUAGUCCCUGUCUCUUAUAC